rnacentral:tRNA from 1 species
GGUGAUGUAGCUCAGUUGGUAGAGCGUUGGAUUGAAGAUCCAAGCGUCAGGGGUUCGAGUCCCUUCUUCACCAC